GACGAACGCUGGCGGCGUGCUUAACACAUGCAAGUCGAACGGAAAGGCCCUGCUUUUGUGGGGUGCUCGAGUGGCGAACGGGUGAGUAACACGUGAGUAACCUGCCCUUGACUUUGGGAUAACUUCAGGAAACUGGGGCUAAUACCGGAUAGGAGCUCAUGCUGCAUGGUGGGGGUUGGAAAGUUUCGGCGGUUGGGGAUGGACUCGCGGCUUAUCAGCUUGUUGGUGGGGUAGUGGCUUACCAAGGCUUUGACGGGUAGCCGGCCUGAGAGGGUGACCGGCCACAUUGGGACUGAGAUACGGCCCAGACUCCAACGGGAGGCAGCAGUGGGGAAUAUUGCACAAUGGGCGGAAGCCUGAUGCAGCAACGCCGCGUGCGGGAUGACGGCCUUCGGGUUGUAAACCGCUUUCGCCUGUGACGAAGCGUGAGUGACGGUAAUGGGUAAAGAAGCACCGGCUAACUACGUG
rnacentral:rRNA from 1 species